GAAGGGGUGGCCGAGCAUGGUUUAAGGCGCUGCAUCCUUUAAAAUUUGUUUGGUACUUGCUGCCAAUCAUAGCUAAUGCAGUCUAUCUAUCCGAUAGUCGUGGGUUCAAAUCCCUCCCUCUUCC
rnacentral:tRNA from 1 species